rnacentral:misc_RNA from 1 species
GAUGAAGAACGUAGCGAAAUGCGAUACUUGGUGUGAAUUGCAGAAUCCCGUGAACCAUCGAGUCUUUGAACGCAAGUUGCGCCCGAAGCCAUUAGGCCGAGGGCACGCCUGCCUGGGCGUCACACGUCGUUGCCCCCCCAUCUACUCCUUCGGGCUUGCGGGGGGCGGAUGAUGGCCUCCCGUGCGCCUCGUCGCGCGGUUGGCAUAAAUGCCAAGUCCUCGGCGACGCACGCCACGACAAUCGGUGGUUGCGAAACCUCGGUUGCCCGUCGUGUGCGGUCGUCGCGCAUCGAGGGCUCGAAAAAAUUGCCGGGCUCCGGCUCGGCUUUCAACGCGACCCCAGGUCAGGCGGGGUUACCCGCUGAAUUUAAGCAUAUCAAUAAGCGGAGGA